UGGGGAAUAUUGCACAAUGGGGGAAACCCUGAUGCAGCAACGCCGCGUGAGCGAAGAAGGCCUUUGGGUCGUAAAGCUCUGUCCUCAGGGAAGAAGGAAGUGACGGUACCUGAGGAGGAAGCCCCGGCUAACUACGUGCCAGCAGCCGCGGUAAUACGUAGGGGGCAAGCGUUAUCCGGAAUUAUUGGGCGUAAAGGGUACGUAGGCGGCUUGGUAAGCGUGAGGUGAAAGGCAAUUGCUUAACGAUUGUAAGCCUUGCGAACUGUCAAGCUUGAGUGCAGGAGAGGAAAGCGGAAUUCCUAGUGUAGCGGUGAAAUGCGUAGAUAUUAGGAGGAACACCAGUGGCGAAGGCGGCUUUCUGGACUGUAACUGACGCUGAGGUACGAAAGCGUGGGGAGCAAACAGG
rnacentral:rRNA from 1 species